UACGAAGGGGGCUAGCGUUGCUCGGAAUCACUGGGCGUAAAGCGCACGUAGGCGGAUUGUUAAGUCAGGGGUGAAAUCCUGGAGCUCAACUCCAGAACUGCCUUUGAUACUGGCGAUCUUGAGUCCGGGAGAGGUGAGUGGAACUCCGAGUGUAGAGGUGAAAUUCGUAGAUAUUCGGAAGAACACCAGUGGCGAAGGCGGCUUCC
rnacentral:rRNA from 1 species